rnacentral:lncRNA from 1 species
AGAUAGAAAGAGGAGAUGAAAGAGUUACGUAAUUGCAGGCACUUAUGGCCCUUUCUUUUUCCUUAUUGAGUUUAGAUUCUUCUUUUCAAACUUAUUCUUAUUUAUUAUAAAUGUACUCCAGUCUCUUGUAUUACUGCCAAGGAUCUAAUAAGGUUUGUCUGAAACUAAUGCACCGAAGUUUGUCCAGUUAUACACCCAAGUUACACCUGUGAUUUUACGAGUUGACUAAGAAGAUUAAAAUUCACAUUAGCCUUAGCAAUUAUAGUACAAGAUUUGUGGGGACUGGUCUGAACUAUGGUUUUAGAAAGGAUAUCCUGCAAGCCCUUCACGACAAAUCAGAAGCAGUUAUAUCGUGGGUGUGGCCCAUGAAUUAUCUUGGGGAGAUAUCUUCUAACUCACAGUCAUGGUUGGAAAAAGCUUCAUCUUCAGCACCAUGGCCUGUUAUUGAAUAAGUAUGUUGAGUCAUAAAUUCAGUGGUGAAACAAGGAGAUUAUUUCACUGAUAGAUCGACAUGAGACUCUGGGUAGAAUUUUCAUUCGAAACUAUAUUUCCCUAAUAAAAGUUCAAUAAUACUUUCUGAUGCUCUUUUUACCAUCUAUGCACCAAUAAUUUGAGUAUGCAACUGACAUGCAUCUGUUUUACCUUUUGUAGAGUCAAGAUGAGAGAAUUCAGGAAUUGACGGCUGCUGUGGUAAAUGCGUCUGAGAUCUGUGAAGCUUAUCGAACAAAAUUGUUGAGUAUUUUGAGAGAACUGGAGGAGCAGAAGCUGAGAAUAUCUUUGAAGGUACAGAAUAUGAGGCUUAAUCGAAUAGCUUGAGCUAUAGAAGGCACUUCAAAUUCUUUGUAUAUAUAGUGGGUAUGUUGUUGUUGUAUACAC